rnacentral:rRNA from 1 species
UACGAAGGGGGCUAGCGUUGUUCGGAAUUACUGGGCGUAAAGCGUGCGCAGGCGGCUUCUCAAGUCAGGGGUGAAAGCCCAGAGCUCAACUCUGGAAUUGCCUUUGAGACUGAGUGGCUUGAGUAACGAGAGAGGUGAGUGGAAUUCCCAGUGUAGAGGUGAAAUUCGUAGAUAUUGGGAAGAACACCGGUGGCGAAGGCGGCUCACUGGCUCGUAACUGACGCUCAUGCACGACAGCGUGGGGAUCAAACAGG